UACGUAGGGUGCUAGCGUUGUUCGGAAUCAUUGGGCGUAAAGCGCGUGUAGGUCGUUAGUUAAGUCGGGUGUGAAAUCCCUGGGCUCAACCGAGGAAGUGCAUCCGAAACUAACUAGCUAGAGAAUGGUAGAGGAAGGUGGAAUUCCAAGUGUAGAGGUGAAAUUCGUAGAUAUUUGGAGGAAUACCGGCGGCGAAGGCGGCCUUCUGGACCAUUUCUGACGCUGAGACGCGAAAGCGUGGGGAGCAAACAGG
rnacentral:rRNA from 1 species